UUUGCUUGCUGCACCUGGAUCUACGAUUCUACACCGAUUGAGCACUACCUGUUAGCUGUUGCUUUCAUGUUUCUGUUGGAACGGAGUCUGCUUUCAUGAUCCUGCUCGUCAUCUCUAUGUCUGCCAGGACGGUGUUGGCCUUGCGGUUGAAGUCCAACACCUAGACGACAUAAAAAGAAAAGGUAAUAAGUACGUGCUGUGCUAAAUGAAGUGCUUGGGAACGUCACUGAUAAGGAUGGGCAAGCUCAAAACAAUGAGGUUAGGAUGUGCUUACCAACUUAACAAGAGAAUGUGCAGGUUAUCAAUGGCAAACCACGAGAUUCGAUAUCAGGAUUACAAGUCACACAUGCGCUUGGACACCUUCAGAUUACAAUCAGAAACCCUUGUAUUUAUGAACAUGCACAUAUUGAAUCCAAAGUAAUGUUUUUUACCACCCAUGUGUUCAUGUAUCAGAUUACAAAGAAUGAUGACCUGAAGAGCUCCAGGAAGUCAGUUCUGCAACUUUUUGUUUUGUGAAAGUGUUAUGGAACUUUUUUAACUGUGUGUCAUGGAAAAUGUAGGGACUCAUGCUGCUAUAAAACUAAACAAUGAUAGAUGUUUCACUGGGAAGCCAUCUGAGCAAGACAAUUGUCUUGAACAAACAACUAUGCAUCUAGCCAGGCCAGUGGCGUCAGCAAGGCGGACGACUGCAGUGGUGUGGAGGUGCGAUCUAUCAGGUAUCUCACUCUGUUUGUGGUCAAUUUUUUUGGUUCAUGAAUUCAAAAAAAGCAUGAAGAGAUGAAGAUACUGGCGUUAAGGAACCAUGAUAUGACAGCAGUCUGAUAUGGAGCUUAAGAAACUUGAGGUAUAUAUAUGGUUUCCACAUAUCUACUGAUGAACAAUUGACCACCGUAAUUAUAUACUAAUGCAGCUGCUGCAAGCUUUAUUUUUUAUUUAAUAUCUUUCAUUGUGACGACCUCUAAGAUUUUCAGCCAUCUCUGUAAUCUGUAUAGGUACUAUAGGGAACUAAGUUUUAGUUAUUGGAGUUGUCCCUUUUACUUUUCUACUCAUAGACUGUUGCUAAUUUGGAGUAAGUAUAGUAAAUCUACUGAAUUGGAGGUCUUUAUUAUGUAGCCAUGUUUCUUCAUGCUAGCAUUUGUCCAUGUUUCUCUUCUAUUUCCAUCAUUGAGAAGUUAAGAUGUUAGUUUGGACGAUAUUAAUUCUGAUGCUGGUUAAUUAGAGUAGGAUAUUAUGAUGGUUGUUGACCGUGUCCAGGCUAGAGUUUCAUUGGAAAAUAUACAUUAGAACUACCAGCUAUGAUGCUAGACGAUGAUAAUGUUUUGCUCCAUUUGAUGCGAGAUGAGCUAUUCAGGGUGCUUGAUCUACAAGGUUAAGAUGCUAGAUUAUGAAAAUGAUUCUUUUGAAGAUAAAAGUACACCAGACAUUCUCUCCUAACAAUUAGAACAACCACAGUACCAGACAUUUAUUCAGUUCAAGUUCAAUUUGUUAGUGGUAUUAUUGUUUGUACUGUUUUUGUCCGUGAUGAUUACCGUUGAUUUAGAAGUUUUGUAUUUAAUUUUGUGAUAUUUUCCCAAGUCACCACAAGUUUGGUCUGGCCAAUUGACAUUGAUUGUUUUCUGUUCAGUCAUCUCUUUAACUCAUGCAGAUUAUAUAUAUGUGUCUCAUCAUCACAUCAAUUGCCAAGUCUACUGAUGUGUAUUCUUGUCCGGGUUGGACCAAACUGAAUGUAGAUGUUGAGGUUGAUGAUACUACAACGGCUCGAUCAUUGUUUCUCCGUAGUCAUUCAGGCAUGUUUUGAAAAGGAAAGAGAAUCAUGCAGGUGGCGGCGGAGUUGAGCAUGCUUCUCCAUGGCCAAUAUACUUCAUGUCUUGCACAAUGUUCUCUUGGAAUCGGCAGUGAAGUGAUUAUUGAACUGAUUUUCUUGCUUGCGGACAAGCUUAUCUAUUGAGCUACUCUUUAGUGUAAGCUAAUAUGGUCAAAUAUUAUUUUUUGAUAAAUCAAGGAAUGUGGCAGCUCAUGAUUUAGCAACUCUUGGUACUAAAGCUUUGUGUUGUGUUGGGUUGUGUUGUGUUCUGUGGCAUGGAGCACAUUUUGACCAAUGCAUGAGGGCCUAUUGAUAUUUCUUGUAAAGGAUUG
rnacentral:lncRNA from 1 species